rnacentral:rRNA from 1 species
UAAUACGGAGGGGGCAAGCGUUGUUCGGAUUUACUGGGCGUAAAGGGCGCGUAGGCGGUUUAGCAAGUCACUUGUGAAAUCUUUGGGCUUAACUCAAAGCGGCCAAGUGAUACUGCUAGACUAGAGUGCAGAAGGGGCAAUCGGAAUUCUUGGUGUAGCGGUGAAAUGCGUAGAUAUCAAGAGGAACACCUGAGGCGAAGGCGGAUUGCUGGGCUGACACUGACGCUGAGGCGCGAAAGCUAGGGUAGCAAACGGGAUUAGAUACCCCGGUAGUCCUAGCCUUAAACGAUGAAUGUUUGGUGUCUGGAGUUUAAGUCUCCGGGUGCCGUCGCUAACGCUUUUAACAUUCCGCCUGGGGAGUACGCACGCAAGUGUG